AGGGAGGUGCCUGUGAAAGUGAGAAGGAGGUGGCUGCAAGAAUUACAGAAAUGGACUUGAGGGAAGAAGCGGUCAGGGAGAGGAGUUGGUGGGGUUUUGGGAUACUGGGCAAGGCUAAUUUGGGGAGGACCUUGAUUCUUGUGGAGGAACAGGUGGAAGGGGUGGAUGUGAUUGGGGCUUUGGAGGAAGCCAUGAUCAUGUUCGCCAUUUCUCUCUUCUAGGUUUUCAAGCUACCUCUCCUCUGUGAAUGUAUGCAGGUAUGUGUGGUGAUUUUUCACAGAGAAUGCAGAUCUAAGAAAGGCUAUCUCAAUCUAUGCCACACAAUCUAU
rnacentral:lncRNA from 1 species